rnacentral:lncRNA from 1 species
UGGAGAAAGGGGAGGGAGGGAGGGAAGAGAGAGGGAGGGACGGAGCUCUCUGGACCUGAACCAUGCAAGUGACCAUCUCCUGAAGUGAAGGGGUCCAGCCAACAUAGCACACGAGGUUUCACACCCAUAUUCUGAAGCCAACAAGAAUUAUGCACAUGAAUGGAGCCAUAGUAUGUGCUUUAUCAAGUGUUUAGGAAAUGCUGAGGGUGAAAAUAUUUACGACAGUUCAAUAGACAGGACCUCUCUCUGGGUGACAUAGCACUGGCAUGUCAUGGGUGGAGUAAGGUUCCAACCAAGCUCUCCAAUAUAACGCUUUUUAAUAAGGCUGAUAGAUCUGCCUACCUCUGCACGCCACAUGGCAGUGGCUCUUAUUACGUAUUGGAUUCCAAUGCAUCAGGCUUUUGCGGUCAUGGUAUUUCUCCCAGUUCUUGGAUUAUACCUACAGAUUCACCAAGUAGCCUGUCUUUAUCAUCCUCAUGCUUGAUGCUCAUAACGUAUGAAUAAUAUUGAAAAACGAUGUAUAGACAAUGCAUUAGCCACUGAAAUUAGAUUCACACGAAGACGUUCCCAUCUCAUUAUAUAACAGCAUUUGUUAUAUUGUUGAGAGUAACUUUUAUAUACUUACCCCUUCUUAGUUUAUAAGCUAGAAGGGAGAGCCAUCAUUUAACACUCCUGGUGGUGCAUCUUCCCUUCUGUUAGUGCCACCUAACAGGAAAGAGCUUGCUAGGACUGCCAGGACCCUUGGAGAAUUUCUCCAGUACACUGAGAGUCCCAGCAGUCAUCCAGUCACAACGUCGAAGUGAAUUUCUCAUACAUUUUUGUUUUUACUCAAGAGACUGUAGUUGGAUGAUUGGGUGCUCUGAAUGAAUUUUAUUGCUUUUUGCCCUCUCUCCCUACCCAAGGAACUUCCUUCCUAAAAAUGUUCAUGGAUGACAUUCUAUUGCCAUUGAAAAGAAAGGUCUACCUUCUCUUGACAGGGACCCAAGCCUUCCUGUAAUGCUUUGCUGAUGCUCAAAUGAUCAUCCCACACCUUCAGGCAGCCAUUCAUUACGUAAAAUCAUUAUAGCAGAGAAAACUGGGUUUAUAUCUCUAAAAUUAAAUUCCACUGGCUAUACCCUGCCAACUACUUGCAUUUAAAUGUCUGUUUAAUUGGCUGGGAGUUCAGCCAGGCAAAGGUGGUAGAGCUGCAGCCACCAGGCCAUGUGGAAUUGACUGUCACUCAUUAAAGUUAUCCUUAAGAUAAAGAUUUAAAUCUGUUUCAUUUCCUUGCUCAGUAUCACUGAAGUAAAUAGGACUAAGACAUGGGAAUUAAAGGAGAUUUUUUUUGCAGCCAAGAACAUUGACAGCUGAAAUAUAAUCAGUUCCUAAGAUUUAUAAUGCUAUUGACUUUUCUUUUGCAUCAUAAAUUUCACUGCUGACUCUCUGCCUGGGUUUUAUUAUAAUAUCAUAUCAUAUUAGGGAGAUCAGCUUUGCUGGUGACAAAUGAAAACCACUGACAUGAAAAAAAUUCCCAUUAUCAGCUCAUCACCUAAUCAUAUUAGCAUCUUUGUAUCCUAUUAUCAACUUUUUUAUAUAAAAUAACAUUUCCUAAUGACAGGAAUUUCACUAAUGCUAUAUGAGUGAGACUAAUAUCAUUUGAGAGUUCUCAUCAUGCAUAUCCUACUUGAAAGCAAAGAGUAUCUGUUUUCUACACAGACUUUGAAAAUUCCAAAUGGAUGUCUAGCAAUUCAGGCAAAAGAUGCUUUAUGGAAAAGCUGUCCUCGUGACCAGCAAUGAGGGCCUCUCACAUUUUGGUCCCAACAUUCAACUAACAGCAUUACGACUCAUAAAAUUUGAAGGUAGGUAUAGCAGAUUAAAAAAAAAAAAAUCCAGGAGUUCCUGUUGUGGCUCAGAGGGUUGUGAACCCAACUAGUAUCCAUCAGGAUGAGGGUUCAAUCCCUGGCCUCACUCCGUGGGUCAGAAAUCCAGUGUUGCCGUGAGCUGUGGUGUAGGUCGCCGAUGCGGCUCAGAUCUGGCAUUGCCGUGGCUGUGGUGUAGGCCAGCAGCUGUAGCUCAGAUUUGACCCCUAGCCUGGGAACAUCCACAUGCCGCAGGUGUGGCCCUAAAAAGACCAAAAAAAAAAAAAAACAAAACAAAACAAAAAACAAACAAAAAAAAAUCCAAACUACUGAAUGCAAAGUAGAAUAUAUCUAAUUUCUUCAGUUAUCAUUCAUACAAGCCUCAAAGUCAAAUCAGGGUAAAGUUCAGCUAACUGUGACACGAUCCUGAGUGUCUGCCAAUGCUAUUGAGUAAGAGAUGUUCAACUAUUUCUUAGCAAACCUGCAACUUUCUUAUCCUGGUUGAAACUGGAUAAAGGGAGGGAAAAAAAACAGCAUUUCUACAAUUUAUUUUUUAGAAUGUGACCGAGUCAUUGAGUUUGUGGCUAUAUCUGCAAGAUGCUGAACCCGUCAAUCACCUCAGCGAUUCAGUAUGACAACCAGUCAAUGCAGUGAGAAAAUCAAUUUUAUCAGCUCAUUGAACUGAACCAACGCCUGUGGACACAUGCAAAUCAAAGUCCCUUCGUGGCUUCUCAUCACCACUGUGGCAGCUGCUUCUUUCUUGCCCAGUGGGGUAGGGUCCUUACCCAGCUAGAAUUUCCACAAAAAAGGGAGCCCAGCUCUUCCAUGUAUUUUUAAGUUCCCCUGGCAUCUGGCACCAGACUCAGAGACACAUACAAGACAGCACCAAACAUUUCUCCAGGCCAACUGCAACCCAGGGCCCCAGAGAGCAGCCUAAGCUCCCUUGACAAGGACUUCCCUCGCUGCCGCCUCAGUCAUUCUAGAAUUCAGGAUUCACAUCCGACCCUGCUGAGAAAAUACACUCCCAAUGUUUCUUGAACUGACAUUUCAGUCUUUCCAGCAUCGUCCAAAAAGCUUAUUUACUGGGUCCUCACAGCAUCCCUCCAUAGUCAGCCAAGAGCUUCCAAGAUCCCUAGAGUAGUUAAACAGCUUGACUGUCACUAGCCGUAUGUAGCAUGUCUAAGGGCUUGAGGGGCCCUGUCUUUAGAACCCAUGCAUCAAAUGACAGAUCAUGGUGAAUAGCAAAUAUUGAAUGACUGCAUUAAUUAAUUAAAGUAGUGGCUCUCAAACUUUAGUUGGCAUUUGAGAUCACCUGAAAUUUUUUAAAAUAAGGAUUCCAGAGUUCCUGUCGUGGCGCAAUGGUUAACGAAUCCGAUUAGGAACCAUGAGCUUGCGGGUUCGAUUCCUGGCCUUGCUCAGUGGGUUAACGAUCCGGCGUUGCUGUGAGCUGUGGUGUAGGUCGCAGACGCGGCUCGGAUCCCACGUUGCUGUGGCUCUGGUGUAGGCCAGUGGCCACAGCUCUGAUUCGACCCCUAGCCUGGGAACCUCCAUAUGCUGAGGGAGCGGCCCAAGAAAUGGCAAAAAGACAAAAAAAAAAAAUUUUUUUAAAAACAAAAAAAAAUAAAAUAAAAUAAGGAUUCCUGGGAAUUCGAUUGUGGCCAAGGAAGAUUAAGGAUACAGUGUUGUCACUGCAGCAGCUCGGGUCACUGCUGUGGCUUGGGUUUGAUCCUCAGCCCAGGAACUUCCAAAUGCCGCAGGCAUGGCUGGGAAAAAAAAAAAAAAAAAAAGGAUUCCCGGACCCUGUCCCCCCAAAAUGUUUAUUUAAUAGGUCUUGGAUUGGGUGUAGGUUCCUGAAUUUUUAACGAGUACCCUAGGUGGCAUGCUUUGAUUUAAAGUAUAAUUGAUUUUAAGCAAUCUCUUACUUUAAAAAAGCAAAAAAUGAUGUAAAUGUUUGCUAUGAGACAAAUUUUGUAAAUUGACCCAUUUCUGCUGCAAGUAUCUAUUUUCGCUGGGGUUUUUUUUAUAUAUAUAUACAAUUUUUUUUUCCCACUGUACAGCAAGGGGGUCAGGUUAUCCUUACAUGUAUACAUUACAAUUACAUUUUUUCCCCCACCCUUUCUUCUGUUGCAACAUGAGUAUCUAGACAAAGUUCUCAAUGCUAUUCAGCAGGAUCUCCUUGUAAAUCUAUUCUAAGUUGUGUCUGAUAAUCGCUGGGGUUUUUUUGAUGCAUCAUUUACCUAAGCCUAAGCGAAUGAUCAAGCAUUGAAAACGUAUUUCCAGCCCUGAGUGUCCGUGGAAAUUUGUUGGGAAGGCAUCCUUAGUGAACUGUGUGAAAACACUUUCAUGUGGACUGCUGGAUGGCUUUUUUGUGACCUCUGCCUCGUGUAUUUCCAGGCACCCAGCAGCAGAAGGAAACACAUGCAAGUCCUGGGCAGCUCCCACCUUAAGGAGAGGCAAAAGGAGUCACAGAGAAGCCCCCCUGUGCUGUCAGGCUUAAGGGACAAGGGAGGGAAACCCAGCUUCUUGGGAAGCUAGUGGAAGCCAGACGGUAGGGAAGAGGAGAGGAGGUUAGGAGUGUCCUGUGUCUGCCAGCUUCUCAGCUCCUCCUGGCAGGGCAGGUGUUCCCUGCUCUGAGCUCCUAUUUUGACGAGGAUAUGUCUACAUUCCAGGGUUUUUUACGCUAUAGUCUCCUUCACGGCCCACUGUCUGCACGCUCCCUCGUAGUGGGGCAGUGAUGAACAGUACUGGGAUGAAGAAUGUGUUCCAGGGCAGCAGCUGAAGCUCCGAUCGGAUCCCUAGCCUGGGAACCUCAUAUGCCGCGAAUGCGGCCCUAAAAUGACAAAAAAAAAAAAAAAAAAAGAAGUUGUUCCAGGAAUUCCCAUUGUGGCUCGGUGAUAACAAACCCGACUUGUAUCCAUGAGGACUCGGGUCCAAUCCCUGGCCUUGCUCCGUAGGUUAAGGCUCUGGCAUUGCCAUGAGCUGCAGUGUAGGUCACAGACAGAGCUCGAAUCUGGCAUUGCUGCGGCUGUGGGGUUGGCUGGCAGCUACAGCUCUGAUUCAACACCUAUGCAUUGGGUGCAACCCUGGAGAAAAAAAAAAAAAGCGCUUGUUCUGGAGGCCAACCCCAAAUUCAAGUCCACGUCUGCCACGUACUGGUUGUGUGAGCUUGACAACCUAUCCUCUAAACCUCAGCUUCCUCAUCAGCAAAAUGGACACAAUAAUAACCUCCCUGGAGGAACAUUUGCAUGAAUUAAGUGAAAUAAUCCAUGGGAAAUGCUUAGUAAAUUUGCUUUGUAGGUGUUCGAUAAAUGCUAGCUCUUAUAAUUAUUAUUCAUUUUGUGUCCCACGACACCUUGUGAUAAAUGGAAGGGAAAUGAGGCCGUCUGAAACCCAUACUGCUACAGCCGGCCUCGAGCUCCAGCGGGGCCCUGAGGAAGACAGAAGUCAAGGCCAGUCACGUGUCCACUGCCGGUCGCUCUAAGUCUGGCCACGAGCCUACCUUACGUGGAACACCUAACCCUGGUGCGCCUGGACCCAAAACCCAGGCCAUGAAACAUCCAUGCGUCCACCCUCUGAUCUCAGCUUUUGAAGUUUUGCCCCUCGGUGGAAAGACGUGGGGCACACACAGAAAAAGGAGGCACAGCUCUGAGGAUGAUGGCGUGUGGGUCCCUCCCUGGCGUUUUCCCUUCAAUAUCUAAUAUUGUUGGUUCCCUGGGUGCAUGAGAUGAAUGAGUCGUGUUCACCAACCUGUCGCUAAACCACACUCGCACACUCGCAGGCCAAUGCUGCCAUAAUCAUUAGUAAGACACGGCUCUCGGGCACAUCCAAGUGUGGGUAAUAAGCUCUGUGGUGAUCCAGCCCCUGGGGCAUCGGAGGGCAGGGUCCCUCCAAGUCACUUGCGCCACUCUGGAAGCAGCCCAGGCCUGCUGGGUGACACCAGCCUCACGGCGAACAGGGGAGAGAAGCCAUCGGGAGGAGAACAACCCCCAAGGCUGUAAAUGGCCGGCCCCGCCUCCACUCUGAAAGGCCUGCCCUUGAGCCUGGGAACUCCUCUGGCCCUGGACACUCAAGCCCCUCUUCCUCAGUGGCAGGGAGCCCAGGGAGGCCUAGCUCCCAAGACAGUUUUUAAAAAUGAGGCCCAGGAGCGAACCCACAUCCUCAGGGAUACUAGUCAGUUUCCUUCCGCUAAACCACUACAGGAACUCCUCCCCCCAAAAAAAUUUUUUAAUUUUUAAAUAAAGAAGCCUCUGCUGUACAGCAGAAAUUGGCACAACAAAAACAGAGGUGGGGGGAGUUAAAAAAUAAAAGUAACCUCUAAACAUUGUUCCUAGCAUGGUCCCCCCAACCACAACAAGAAACUCAAAAUAGGAACUUUGCCUUUUAGAGAAAGCCUUUCCAUGGACUUUAAAACUAGUUUGUUCUUGAUGGUCACAGCCUCUUGGCAAAAGACUAAUGACCUGUCGAUUGAACAGUGUCAGGGACUAUCAGAGAUACAAGCCAACAAUAAUAAUAAAAAUCACAACCAGCCACAAACACUAGUCUCGGUCACAUACUUGACAUUCACAAUGUGCUUCCAGACACAUGCCCAGGGCCACUUCUGUCUUUCAGCAGCACCACAAGCUUGACGUUGGUAACCCAAAGGCUGCGAGUGACGCAAAGGACAUGGAGAAAGGCUAAGCGAGUUGCCCAGAUCACACGCAUGUAGGCGGCAGGCCUGCUACCUGAAUCCAAGGCUUUUGAUUUCAAAUUUUGUGACCCCCUCUAAUACAGCCAGUUACAUCAUCCUCAGAUGAAACUUGAAUUCAAUUACAUAGAAAAAAAGAAAAGAGAAAAAUACAGCUGGAAGGAGGAUCAUUUAAGACGUGCAGGCCGGAGUUCCAGUUGUGGCUCAGUGCUUAACGAAUCUGACUAGCAUCCGUGAGGAUGUGGGUUUAAUCCCUGGCCUUGCUCAGUGGGUUAAGAAUCCGGCGUUGCCAUAAACUGUGGUAUAGGUCACAGACGUGGCUCAGAUCUGGCAUUGCUGUGGCUCUGGCGUAGUCCUGCAGCUAUAGCUCCAUUUCUACCCCUAGUCUGGGAAUCUCCAUAUGCCGCAGGGGCGGCCCUAAAAAGCAAAAAAAAAAAAAAAA